CUUUUCACCACCGAAUUUUUGGGUUUUCCCUUCAUUAAAAAACCCCCCGAAACCCCAAAACGUAUGGGGAAUUGCAAAAUUCAUGGAAUCUUCAAAUCUUUAAACCCUUCUGGCCCUCUUUGGUUUUCCAAGAACCAGGCCUGU
rnacentral:rRNA from 1 species